rnacentral:lncRNA from 1 species
AGAGAGUUGAAGUCCAUUUGUUAAUGCUGCCUCACUCUAUGCACUGGACAUGCUGAGGGGCCGUGUGGCAUCUUCCCUGAAGCGGCUCUUCCGCACAGUCAAGGGCGACCCGAAUUGGAUUCGUUUAUUUAGCAAGGGGCGGGGGGUGGGUGAGCACUGCUCAGCCCUCAAUGGCUCUGAGACAGCCCCUUCCAUUUUAAGUUGCUGGUCUUAAGAAAGUUCAGAUCCCUUUGAAUAAUCUGAGAUGUGUGAAAUAAGGUUAGUCACAGGAUUUCCUGCCACCAGCGCUCGCAAACAAACUUUCCUCACUUCCUCUUUUUUCAAAGUCCAGUUGCUUUUGUUUCAGUGCUUACAGCCUCCACUCUGGUACCGAUGGUGAAAAAGGGCGGACGGAAUCUCAAGUUCUCUGUGUGCCCUUCCCUGUCUCUCGGUCUGUCUGUCUCUCACACGCACACACAUGAGAGGCGUUACAUUGAAACCACAGACAUUCCAUCCAUCACCAAACUCAGAUUCGGACAACUUAGCUUCUUCUAGUUCUUGGUUUUGGCUCCUCUCUCUUCCUUAUUUGUUAUCUGUCUUCCAGGCCACUGAAUUUCCCAUCCUCCUAUUCUAGCCUUUCUUUUGCUAUGAUCCUCUUCCUUCCGCCUCAGAGGCUUAGAUUUUCAACCCCCCCAGAGCCCCAGACCCUGAACUACUCCUAGCUGCAUGCGAAUAUUCUCUCCCCCAUCACGCACCCUCAUCCCACCUAACCUCUUCAUUAGACGAAUUUUCCUAGCCCAGCCUCACAGAAGGCCCAAAGCACAGCUAACCUGUGAGCUUCCUGAAGGGAGGGCUUUAGUCUUAUGCAUAUCUGUACCCCUGAGCACUGGGUCAGGCCCUCCAUGUUUGUCGAAAGAAUGGAGACAAAACUAAGCAAUCAGAUGAAGGGUUAUCCCUCCCAGGUAACAAUAUUUUAGUUCAAUUAAAAUGUCUGUUUCCUCGAGGCCAUGAAAGAUAGAAUCUAAUGGGAAUUUUAGACCCUCAGGCAUGGUUUCUCCACUUUGACAUAUCUCAGGUUCUUCAGAUGCCAUGUGCGAUGGGGCUGGAGAUUUCUUGACUCAGAGUUGUAAGUCCCCCAUUUUCAGCUGGCUGUCCAGGUUUUCCGGCAGCAUUCCUCUCCUUCCACCUUGCGCACUGAGGACCAGCACAAGUGACUUAUAACUCAAGCUCCAUACUAUAUAUACGCCAGUAAGGUAUCUCCAGGUCCAGUUCACAUGGCUCACUUGGCAUAAGUAUAAGCCAUGGGUGGAUGCUAUUCAAGAUCCAUCUCCUGGCAUUCGUUUUUAACCCAAAAGCCUUUUCUUCCAGUGACGGGAUUCGGGUGGAUUCACUUUACUUCCACCAUCUAGUCCAGGGUGGGGCAGUGACCUUUGGUUCUCAUUCUGGUUUCUGGAGGCAAAAGGUUCUGUGUUGUUUGAAUCUUACAUGGAGCUCAUUUGCUUCUGGUAGAACCCAUUUCUAGGUAUGCGGUCUACACCUGCAUCACCGACACAACUGGCACACUCUGACUACUCAGCUCUAUGAAUUUGGCUUCUCUUUACCUCCUGUUCCAGCCCACAACACAGGCCUUGCUCUCUCCAUGAACUGUCCUAUGUACUUUUCUGCCUUAGGAGGCUCUGCCUGGCAUUAACCACCACCAUGCAUCUAGGAUCCUUGGCUUUGAAUCAUCCUUUUCUUAAUUCUUCAGCCAAUCUCUGUCCCCUCGCCUGCAUUUUCUUGUCAUAGCUUUACUGCUGUUAGUUUUCUUUAAGUGCCUCAAUUAAUAGCUUUAUAACAUACCAACUAAGGGUCAACUUCGUCUCUUCCUCCCAUCCCUGAUCUAGUUAAGGGGUCCCUCUAUACCACCUAACGGAACGGCUUAAGAGCAAGGACCAUGGUUUAUGCUUCCACAUGUCCCGCACGGCAACAAGCACAGAGCUUUCGAUAUAGCCAAUACUCGCUAAAGGUUUGCUGAUGUAAUUCUCUUGAAUGACAUCUCUCAUUUAGAGCUCCCCAACGCACAUCUGCAUUUUAAAGACAGUGCUGAUUCACUUCAACUUUCCGGGGAAUAUACUCGAGGCCCCACAUUUGCCAGUGCAAACAACUAUCUCCAAAUCUGUGUCGUGGUGGUUGGGGGCUGUUCGAAAUCACUUUUGAGGGAAGAAGGCAUGUAGCUUUUCAGUUGGCUAACUGAUAGUGGCGGGCAACAUUUCUACAGCUUGUGCCAUAGGAGUACAGAGGGUGCAGCCAGAAACCAAAAACCACUGGGAUCACAUCAUGUUUGAGUGCAAGUGGAGGCUUGGUGCUGUUAACCUAGGAAAGGGGGUCCAAUGGGUAGCACCAAAUGCCCACCCUGAUGUAUUCAAACUUUGACUGAUUAUAUGAAAAGGAAGUGUGCUUUCUGCUCCUUGAUGAAAAUAAUGGAUAUGAAGUCCCUUUGAGAAGGUAUUCCAACCGGAUCACAUCCCAGACAGGUAGCAUUCUACCUCUUAACACUUGGAGGAAUUUCGUUGCAGUUUCCAAGUACUUUCCUUAAGUCGAUCUCAGGGCGGGGCGGGGGGGAGAUGGUACUUCUCCCUAAAUAACAUACGACAACUUCACCUUUAAAAGGACUUGAGUUUCUUAAAUCUGAUUUACAAUGAGAACCGAGACAGUGGCCAGAUGGCAAAUAUUCAAUCACCCCUAGCCCUUCAUAAGUAAUCAUUUCUAAAGGAAAGAGGGGCCUCCCUAGUUUCAAAUCUUCUUCUAAACUGCUAUUGGCAAAAUGAAUUGUGUAACUCUCCACUUUUCAGCAAGACUUGGACCUAGUACCUUCUCACGUGUCACAGAGUUGGGCAUAUGGUAGACAAUUAGUCACUGCUUAUGAGUUUCAAUGUAAAAAACCUUUUUUUUUCCUUCCUACUAUGUUCCAAACAUUGUGGAAGGCAAAAAAGCGGGGUAUAUGUUUCACAGGACAAGUCUUUGGCCCUUGUCUCAGAAUCUAGUGGAUCAGAUGAACAUGUAAAUCAAUAAUUAAAAUGAAAUGUGAUAAAUGCCAUAACAGGGGUUUGUAUGAAGAUGAAUGGGAGGACUACGUCCGGGUUAGACUUUUCACUGAAGACAUUUGUUGUAGACUGCUCCUACACGAUAAGGUAGACAACAGGAGACAGAAAGUUUUUCCCCAUAGAAUGCAAAACACAGAAACGAGAAAGGUCAUGAGUGGUUCCAGGAGGAGAAGAGAGCUAGUUCUGGCCAAAGCUUAGGGUGUGUAAAGAGGAGAGGAUGAAAGGGAUGAGGCAGGACCAAGCUAAGGAAUUAGGAUUUCAUUCCGAAGGUGCUGAGGAGCCACUGAUGGGUUUCAAGCAAGCGAGUGUCACGUUCAGAUUUACACUUUUAAAUAGCCCACUUUAGCAGCAACAUGUAGGACAGAGCCUAAGGUCACGAGCAAACCAGUUAGGAGACUACUGCUAUAAUCCAGAUAAAAAACACUAGUGGCUUGGGCUAGGGCCAUGGAAGUGGGGAUAAGAACUUUAACAGUAGACAGAUUUGAGAAACACCAUGGAGGUAAAAUAAAUAGCGUCUCAUGACUAGUAGAAGAAAGGAUGGGAUGGGGAGUUCCCUGGUGGCUCAGUGGGUGAAGGAUCUGGCAUUCACUUCUGCGGCGUGAGUUUAAUCCCUGGCCCAGGAAAUUCCUCAUGCUGCGGGCAUGCCUCCCACCACCCCACCCCGUUACCGCAAAAAAAAAAAAAAAGAGAAAAGGAUAGAAAAAAAAGAGCCUCGAUUUUGGAGUCAAUGGUGGAAUGUUCAUCACUUAGCUGUGAGAUCUGGGGCAAGUCUUUUGGCCCUGGAAACUCAUUAUCUUCAAAGUAGAAGCAAAAAUAGCUACGACUCACCUCACUUAUCUGUUGCAGGAAUUAAAUAAAGUCAUGUUAUGAAAACGUGCUUUAUAUAUAUCCUGGAAGCUAUCAUAUACAAAUGUUAACUGUUAUUCCAUUGCCUUGAAAAUUUGCAUUUCUUGAAUUCAACGAGACUACAUCAUGACCUUUUUCCUUAGAACCAGUUACUGCUACUGUGUUUCUCAUAAUUAGAGAAAAUGCUGCUUUCAGGACAGACAGGCAGAAGGGAUUAUUCAAGUCACAAUGACGAGUCAGGAUGACAAGUCAAUCACCCACACUCUCCGGCCCCCCCUCCCCUAUGCUGCCAAGCAGGAAAUGGCUGUCAGGGGUUAUUUUGCAGGUGACAGUUAACAGCCAUACGUUUAACAUUCCAUCCAACCUAGUGCUUCGGCUUGCUUUUAGUCACAUAGGUAAGGACUCACUGUUUAUGUCCUGAAACAGCAACAGUUGUAACUUGGUGAUUUGAGAUUUGUUUACACGAGCUAAUCAGCAGAUUCUGACCAAGAAAAAUGUCCUCGGGCCCAAGGAGGACACAGACACAAAUGUUAUUUACUCUGAACUGUCAAUUAAAAGUCUACAUAAAUAAUAAUAAACAUGACCUGUGAACUGGUCUUCAGUGAUGUCUCGCCCUCACACGCCUAUGUUUGGAAAGGAGUUGCACCUUCAUUCUCUUCCUCUCAACUGUUUUUGUGAGGGGAACUACGGCUUGUUUUUUACAGGUUGACCAGAUAUCCCACACACUUUGUAGGAGGAUAAGUAAUGUGGGUUUCUGUCUCCAGCUCUGUGGCAUCUGUUGAUCUUCUGUAUUGCUCUGAGUUCCCGUGGCACUAAUUCAGUUGUCAACUGUACACAUCUGAUUAGAACUCAUCUUUUGAAAGUAUUGCUUUCCAGUCUCUCUUGGAACACAGGGACCCUUCCGUCCUCAUGUAUUUCUUGGGCUUAUUUCUUAUGUUAUUUUAAUAAGGUUUAUUUCUUUCCAGCAUCAAAGACAUUCUUCUAGAGUUUUUGUUUUGAAGAGGCAUAAAUCCGACUCCACAAAAGGCAGCCUUCCAACUGAGAACAUAUUAUAUAUACUUGAGAAGAAGCAACCUUAAAUUUUACUCUAUACGGUAAUAGCUAACAUUUCUUGACCACUUAAUAUGUGCCAGACAUUCCGCUGAGUGCGUUACAUGAACUAUCCAUUUAAUUCUCAAGAUAACUCCGUAUGGUAGGUACUAUGAUUAUCUUUAAAGAUCAGUAAAUCGAGCCUCAAAAUGAUUAGGAAGCUUAAGACCACACAGCUGAAAAGCGGCAGAACUAUAAUUUGAACCCAAGUCUCUUUGAUGUCAGAACUUGGUUUCUUACUCAUUAUAGGAUGCUGUUAAUACAAUAUCAUCUCAUGUAUUUUUAUUAGUGCUGGCUUAAAGCCAAAUGGGGAUGUGUGAGAAGCUUCUCUUCUAGUAAAGAUCUGCCUCUGUCUUCUGGGACCACUCCUACUUCACCCGAAUGUGUCCCAUCCUGUGCCUUCAUAGCGUCCCCAGGAUCUGACCUAAGUCUGUUCUUUAGGAAAAUGAACCUUUGCCUCUACUAUCUUCCCAUCAAAAUACACCAGUCAGAUGCUUUCCUUAAGGCACUUCUUGUAACUGUCAGUGGAAGGGAUCUGAUAAACUAAUUCAUACCUGGGUGCUAAUGACUGACAACAAUUUAUUACUUUCCUCAAAGAUAUCUGCAUAUUAAGAAUGAAUUCUUGCCUUAACCCAGAGUAAACAAAGAGAAAUCUAAAAAUUUCAGGUCAGGGUCUCCUCAGUGCUACCAUGCUGGCAAUACAUAAUGCCACAGGUGGAGCCUGAUGCUCGUCAUAUCUCUGUGAAUGACAGAGCUCAUAUGAUAUAUAUGUACAAUACUGUAUCAUUCAUUCAAGAGAGAAUGUAGAAAUUGAUAAGUGGAAUUAUUACAGGAUUUAACUGAAGCUACAUUAAUAAUUGUUACCUAAGUCAUCAGUAGAGAUGGAACUAGUAUUUAGAGAGGAAUUGUAUAAUUAGAAAACUACUAUUGGGAUGAGCUAUUUAUGGAGCAUCCUUUAGGGACCUCAAAGUACCAUCUGGGAAAAAUCAUACUGUCUGCAUGAUUCUUGCCAAGGCGUCUUUGUAUAACUGCAUAUACAAAAAUCUAUAUAACACUGAGGAGUUACCAUUAUAUUUGAGUUUUCAAGUAACAGAGAUGGAGUCAUGGUAUGGAUUUAUCCAUAUUCUAUUACCCACGUUCCAUUGGGACCUGCCAUUGUGAAAUAGCUGGCUGAGGCUAAAGUUACAGACUAUAUCCAUGAAACUGAAUGAGGUUAACUUAAACAAAUGGGAAUUGAACCACCAACUCUGACCUCAGUAAUUGCAUGCUCUAAACAACUGAGACUUGCCAGCAUCCGAAUAAGAUUUAACAAAUUCAUUCCCCGGAACUGAAAGUUUGGCUUUAGGGGUACUUAAUUUACUCACUUGGCCAAAAAGAUCCAAAUACUUAUUUAAUUUUUAAUAUAAUCAACUAUAUACUAUGUACCAUUCACUGUAAAUAAAAGUUACACUUUCUCCUCAAAUACAGAGAUAAAAUAACAUCGAAGUCAUAGGAUUAUUGUUGAAAAAUUAGGUAAUAGUUGUGAAAACACUCUAAAGCACAGUACAUAGUAGAUCAUAAUGAGAAGAGUUUACCUUCUGGAAAAUCAGAAUCGUAUGUAUGAUAACAAUCAGAUACAUCGAUGGGAAUGAAAAAUGUUAAGUAGAGGAGUAGCAUGAUCAGAUCUGUGUCUUGGAAAGAUUGCUUAGGUGGAAAUGCUGAGAAUGGAUUAGCAGGGGAUGAGGGGUAGGGGAGAGUGGGUCCAGGAGAGACAGGACAGUCAUGUACUUUAGAUAACAGAGAAAUUCCGUUGGCUCUUCUGCACCCAGUGACUGGGCAAUCAGAUUCUUUCCUUCCUAUUUGUUUUCUGUCCCUUCUGAGAGCAAUUAUCAAGGAGCCGCAGAUCUCUCAAACCUGAGUUCUGCUCCCAGGAUGUGGUGUACGGGGCCGGGGUACCUCGCAUGGGGGCCUGGAUAAAAAUCCCAGGGAAUGGGUUGGUCUCAGUACACCACUCAUUCAUGGAUGCCCAGAGCAAAAAGGUUCAAGUUGGAGAAGUCAUAUCAAGUGCCCGGUCCUAGGGUGAGGCCAGGCGGUAAGAGGAAAAAUGAGUCAGCCAUUAGAACAGACUGAGGAACGGUUAGGAAUGAGUAUGAGAUAAGCUGGGGUGAAUGGUUCAGAACAGAAGCCAUGAAUUCUGCAAGAAUGAGGGAGGCCCGUUUUCAUGUAAUGUGGGUAGGCUGGUACAGGCAAAUACCUGAUAGCUUAAGGCACUAAACAGGCCCAGACACCAUAUAUGGAAUCCCGAGUCCAAAAUAUCUCUGCGUCAAGGGCUGAAGAAGCUUACAUUCUUAGAAUUAGAACAUAGUUUCCUAUUUUUGUUUCAUUUUCCUAAGGUUUGCAGUAGAAAUACACAUUCUCAAUAAGACCACAAGUUCUUUUCCCUCUUUGAAAUGUCACGGGACAGAUGAUUUCUAAUCCAGGAGUCUAAAUCCAAGGCUAUCUAUCCUUCUCAUUCUAGUGGGUUACUGUUUUCAAAGACACGUCCUCUAAUUUACAAAUACAGGCUGCUUCAUGAACCGUGUGUAACAGGUAGCAGAGGCUUAGUUACUGACAACUGCCAGGCAGUGACUUGGAACACAGCUCUUGGUUUUCGACUUUGCUGUAACAUGAUACAGAGCACACAUUUUACAGACCACACAUUCUACCUCCAGAGAGAUGUCUACGUUUGUUAAACUUUUUGUUCGGGCUGCCGUAAGCUGCGUAUGCUGCUCUAGGCUCUCCAAGACAUUCAUGUGGACCUUGUGGUUGACAGAGAAUAAAAGCAGGGAGCAGGAAAAGUGCAGAGAGAAAAUACAGUGACUCCUUCCCCCGUCCCCCCAAAUAUACGAGCAGUUACAAAGGGGAUAAAAAGCUUAGGCAAGAAAAAGCCUGUGGAGGAAAAUCCAGGCUGGGAAAGGCUCGGUAAUCACAGCUGUCUCUGAUUCUUUCUCGUCUGAGUUUCGUCCUUUGUUCUGCUCCAAGAUGUCGCCCCAUCCUCUCAGUGGGGCAGGCAGUGCCCCUACCAUCCCUGGUGUCUGUCAGCCCUCUGACUGCCUAUGCUCUCCUGGGCCAGUGAAGGGCAAUUCUACCAGAACAGGGGGGACAUUUUUCAAGUGGAUUUUGACUAUGACAGAAAGAGGAAAUAAACGCAAGGAAACUCUGAUGCCCAGAACUGGACAGGAUUCUUUAUUCUAUGACAGUGAUGAUUCUCGAAGUGGGCUCCUAAGAUCAGUGGUAUCGGCAACACGAGGGAACACAUCAGAAAUGCAAAUUCUCAGG